AUGUGCUCUAUUUGUGGAGUAGAAGAGGAAAGCAUGUUUCAUGCCCUAGUUAUUUGUCCUAAGGCUCGUGCACUACGACUGGCCUUGAGAGAAUCGUGGAAUAUUCCUGAUGAAGAGUGGUUCAAAUUCUCGGGACCAGAUUGGCUAUUGAUUUUGUUGGAUCUUUUGAGCUUGCAACAGAGAGGGCAAGUUUUGUUUCUGUCCUGGCGAGCAUGGCACCUGAGAAAUAAUUUAAUUUUUGGGAAAGGGAAGGAAUCCAUUGCCGCAUCUGCAAUUUUUGUGGUAAACUAUUGGUCUUCUUUUACGUCCGGUCACAACUCUGUUGAGGUUGUUACUAGUAACAAAGGUAAAGGGAAAGUGGGAGGUGCUACACCAGGUUUCGCAACAUCACAAGAACAGAUGGAAUGGAAGCCUCCACCAGAUGAUUAUAUCAAGAUCAAUAUUGAUGCCAGCUAUGUGGAGAGUAUUAGUGCGGCCAGUGUGGAGGUGGUUGUUAGGAACUCAUCUGGUGAAGUUAUUAUUUCUUCGUGGGACUUUCUGGGUCAGUGUUGCAGCGUGAACGAAGCUGAGCUACGUGCUUGUCUCGCAGGCCUUUAUAUAGGUAUUACUCUUCACCAAUCCAUUAUUUUGGAGACUGAUUAUGCCUUUGUCCGUUCUUUCCUUGCAAAUGAGAAUCUUGACAGGUCUCCGCUCGUUGAUCUGAAGAAAGAAGCCUUGCGUAUAUUGACGAUGCUCAAGAAUUUUAAAAUUGUGAAAAUUAAUCGGCAGGCCAAUAAGGUGGCACACGAAAUUGCAAGUUUAGCUUUAUGA
rnacentral:rRNA from 1 species